rnacentral:rRNA from 1 species
CCCUUAGAUGUUCUGGGCCGCACGCGCGCUACACUGACGAAGUCAGCGAGCAUGUCCUACGCCGACAGGUGCGGGGAAUCUUGUCAAACUUCGUCGUGAUGGGGAUUGAUUAUUGAAAUUCUUGAUCAUCAACGAGGAAUUCCUAGUAAGCGCGAGUCAUAAGCUCGCGUUGAUUACGUCCCUGCCCUUUGUACACACCGCCCGUCGCUACUACCGAUUGAAUGCUCAGGUGAGCCAUUCGGACCUUCAUCAUGCCGGUUUCCGGUUUUGAUGAGGGAAAGUCUUGCGAACCUUAUCAUUUAGAGGAAGGAGAAGUCGUAACU